rnacentral:lncRNA from 1 species
GGGGCACGGAAGCAGCUCUCCCACACUCCAGCACAUGGACGUCUGGAAAUUCUGCUUUAAGGGUUAGGUGGCCCGCUCACUGGGGGCAUCAUGGGAGAGUGUGGAUGAACAACUCCAUCUUCUCCAACACCAGUCGUCCACUCAGAGACCCCCCAGAGCAGGUACCAUGACUCAGAAGCACUCGGAGGGUCCAACCACCAACAUUCUCCCCCCACUCCUCAUCUGGUCAUCAUAGUUUGCAGGUCUCUGCUGGCAGCCCACCUGCUCCCCAAACAAAGAAAUGGGCUUUGGGGGUUAAGAUACCCCUCUCAGAUCUUCCCUCCACCUCUGGCCAGAGGCCCAGCUUCCAGCACCAGAUCUCUUUGGGGACAGUGGAGUCUACUUGGGACACUCAGAACUGAAGCUGUAAGUCUGGUAAAACACUUAGCCCAGGGGACCUCACUGUUAUUGUCACCUGUUAUUGUCCUUCUUGAUGGUUUAGCAUAGUUAGCUCCUCAAGCUGCUGCCUUCUCUGGGCUUGGGGCCCCCCUUCCAGUCCCCCCCAUCCUAGCUGGGGACCACAGUCCCAAAG